UACGGAGGGUGCAAGCGUUAUUCGGAAUUACUGGGCGUAAAGCGCACGUAGGCGGCUUUGUAAGUUAGAGGUGAAAGCCUGGAGCUCAACUCCAGAAUUGCCUUUAAGACUGCAUCGCUUGAAUCCAGGAGAGGUGAGUGGAAUUCCGAGUGUAGAGGUGAAAUUCGUAGAUAUUCGGAAGAACACCAGUGGCGAAGGCGGCUCACUGGACUGGUAUUGACGCUGAGGUGCGAAAGCGUGGGGAGCAAACAGG
rnacentral:rRNA from 1 species